UUUUAAAGGUAAGUUCUGCCCUAUGAUUAGUUAAAUGGCUGCAGUAUCCUGACUGUGCAAAGGUAGCAUAAUAAUUAGUCUUUUAAUUGAAGGCUUGUAUGAAUGAAUAUAUGAAAAAUUAAUUUUAUUAAUUUUAAUUUUAUAAUUUGCUGUUUUAGUAAGAAAGCUUAUUUUUUUUUUUGGGACGAAAAGACCCUAUAGAACUUAAAUUUUAAUAAUUUUUAUUUAAUAUUUGUUUUAUUAAUUUUUUAAUUUUAUUAAUAUUUUUUUUGGGGUGUAAAAUAAAUUUGACUUUAUUUUUUUAUAUCAUUUAUCUAUGUUUUCUUGAUCCAUUUAUGAUUUAAAGAAAAAGUUACCUUAGGGAUAACAGCGUUAUUUUAAUGGUAAGUUCAUAUUUAUAUUAAAGUUUGCGACCUCGAUGNNGAAUUAAGAUUAAAAUGAGGGGUAG
rnacentral:rRNA from 1 species